GAAGGCAGAACUGGCAGAAGGCGAACGCCGCGGUCCGGCGUGUUGCCAGUGUUGCCUGUGUUGGCACUGUUGGCGAUGUUGGCGAUGUUGGCAUGGCAAAGCAGGCAAAGGCAAAGGCUGAAGUCGAAGGGAGGAUCGCUGUGCGUGCGUUCCAAUAAUUAAACACACACACAGGACCGCCCAGUGUCGUAGGACUCUUGUCGUAAGGCUUCAAUUAUUGCUAAUCGUCGAGCGUCAAUCACGUGACCAAUACGAAUAAAUGAUUGAACGCACGAUACGCACGGGGUAAAAGCAAACAGUGGCAAAGAGAUAGCGAAAGUGGACAUUCGGUAUACUUUCAGUUGUUAUUUGUUACUAAUUACU